GGUCGGGGCCGGGCCGGGCUGGGCUGCGGCUCCGCGGCUCUGCGCGAGUGCGCAUGCUCGCCGGCGGGGAGGGCUGCGAGGUCCGCGCAGGCGGCGCGGCGCGUUGGCGAGUUUAGGACGGUUAUCCGGCUGGUUGACCUCGGCACCGCGGGAUGCCUGACCACUUGAGAUAGUACUGGAAACGCGUGGUGGGGGGCUCGAACUCCCAGAAAUAUCGCCCAGCUCUUUGAACACUGGAGAUUUUCUUUUAAAAGUAAAGUCAGUCGGGGUCAGACUCCCGCUCACUGAAGACUGCGGUGUCGCUGCGGGGGCGCCCCGCCCGUGGGCCCAGCGAAGGCCGGGGACCACCCAGCGGCGAGCGCCCGCCGUUACAAGCAGCGCGUGAGCCCGGGGCCACUAACCAGGCGACGGUUAGCGGGCCCCUGUGGCCUCGAGGACGCGCAGGUGUGUGCGGGGCAGCGGCGGCACACGCCAGGGGAGUAGUCUGCACACAGUGCAGGCGUGCUCGGGCAUUUGGCCGAGUCGGUCCAGAAGACAGAACCGCCCGCUCUUGGGAAUUGAGCCAAGGAAUUCCUCAGCGGCCCGGCCGCCCCCACUCCCAACGCUGCCUGGACUUUGACCUGUGGACGAAUGGCCCCCGAGGCUGUUGGUUAUUGCAGGAUGGGCCAGAAAAACAGCUCGGGGCAACGCCCUUGUGCCCACCCUGCAGGAGGAGAGAGGUGGCGCGAGCUGACAGCACCCAUGUCCUGAGGUGGCCAGAGGCGGAGACAACCACCCAUGUGGAGGCCAGCCGGAGCUGCCGGUGGGGCGUCCGGGCUUCACGGCUUCUGCCAGAGACACUCCGUCUCACAGAGGGGGCCGUGGAGUCUUGGGAAAGUCUCAAGGCUCCAGGAAGGCUUCCCUGUGGUGGCCUCAGUUCCUGUGUGUCCCCAGUGAGGGGGCUCAGCUGGCCACUGGCGAGAGGCCUUUUCAAAGUGGAAAGUUUUUCUAAUUGAGAUAAAAUUCACAUAACAUAAAAUCCACUAUUUUAGCCCUUUU